rnacentral:rRNA from 1 species
UUGCGCUAUCAGAUGAGCCUAGGUCGGAUUAGCUAGUUGGUGGGGUAAUGGCUCACCAAGGCGACGAUCCGUAACUGGUCUGAGAGGAUGAUCAGUCACACUGGAACUGAAACACGGUCCACACUCCUACGGGAGGCAGCAGUGGGGAAUAUUGGACAAUGGGCGAAAGCCUGAUCCAGCCAUGCCGCGUGUGUGAAGAAGGUCUUCGGAUUGUAAAGCACUUUAAGUUGGGAGGAAGGGUUGUAGAUUAAUACUCUGCAAUUUUGACGUUACCGACAGAAUAAGCACCGGCUAACUCUGUGCCAGCAGCCGCGGUAAUACAGAGGGUGCAAGCGUUAAUCGGAAUUACUGGGCGUAAAGCGCGCGUAGGUGGUUAGUUAAGUUGGAUGUGAAAUCCCCGGGCUCAACCUGGGAACUGCAUUCAAAACUGACUGACUAGAGUAUGGUAGAGGGUGGUGGAAUUUCCUGUGUAGCGGUGAAAUGCGUAGAUAUAGGAAGGAACACCAGUGGCGAAGGCGACCACCUGGACUGAUACUGACACUGAGGUGCGAAAGCGUGGGGAGCAAACAGGAUUAGAUACCCU